GUUUUUAAGAGCUUCGGCUGGACAUAUACUAAAAUUGGAACGAUACAGAGAAGAAUAGCAUGGCCCUGCGCAAGGAUGACACGCAAAAUAGGGCUGUUCGGCCAUCUAUG